rnacentral:rRNA from 1 species
ACCUACCUAUAAGACUGGGAUAACUUCGGGAAACCGGAGCUAAUACCGGAUAAUAUUUUGAACCGCAUGGUUCAAAAGUGAAAGACGGUCUUGCUGUCACUUAUAGAUGGAUCCGCGCUGCAUUAGCUAGUUGGUAAGGUAACGGCUUACCAAGGCAACGAUGCAUAGCCGACCUGAGAGGGUGAUCGGCCACACUGGAACUGAGACACGGUCCAGACUCCUACGGGAGGCAGCAGUAGGGAAUCUUCCGCAAUGGGCGAAAGCCUGACGGAGCAACGCCGCGUGAGUGAUGAAGGUCUUCGGAUCGUAAAACUCUGUUAUUAGGGAAGAACAUAUGUGUAAGUAACUGUGCACAUCUUGACGGUACCUAAUCAGAAAGCCACGGCUAACUACGUGCCAGCAGCCGCGGUAAUACGUAGGUGGCAAGCGUUAUCCGGAAUUAUUGGGCGUAAAGCGCGCGUAGGCGGUUUUUUAAGUCUGAUGUGAAAGCCCACGGCUCAACCGUGGAGGGUCAUUGGAAACUGGAAAACUUGAGUGCAGAAGAGGAAAGUGGAAUUCCAUGUGUAGCGGUGAAAUGCGCAGAGAUAUGGAGGAACACCAGUGGCGAAGGCGACUUUUCUGGUCUGUAACUGACGCUGAUGUGCG